rnacentral:rRNA from 1 species
GUAUCCUACGGGAGGCAGCAGUGAGGAAUAUUGGUCCAUGGACGCAAGUCUGAACCAGCCAAGUAGCGUGCAGGAUGACGGCCCUCCGGGUUGUAAACUGCUUUUAGUUGGGAAUAAAAGGGGGCUCGUGAGCCCCGUAUUGUAUGUACCAUCAGAAAAAGGACCGGCUAAUUCCGUGCCAGCAGCCGCGGUAAUACGGAAGGUCCGGGCGUUAUCCGGAUUUAUUGGGUUUAAAGGGAGCUUAGGCCGGCUUUUAAGUCAGCUGUGAAAGUCCGCGGCUCAACCGUGGACUGG